GCAUCUUUCCCACUGAACUUGCCUUGGCCAUUUUUCCCCUAGUGUUGCCUCUUAACGUGACCCUCAACUCAUUCUUCAACAACUAGAGUAAUCUGGUUAAACUGAAAAUUAAAUCACUUUAGUCUCCUACGUAAAUCUCUUAAUGGCUACUUAUUGUAUUCAGAAUGAAGUCUAAUAUUGCACUAGAACCUUGCCCCCGUCUGCCCAUGCUAGCCAUUAGUGCUGCUCACCCAUGUUUUCCAUUUCUUCUCCCCUUGCAGGCACAUGGGGUGAUUGCAUACCCUUAAAGAGAAGAUAGGACUGCAAGACUUGCUUUGGGCAGUGAAAUAAGGAAUUGCAACAAAUCCCCAAACUGGAGUGGAUUUCUGGGUGAUCCAAGAAGCAGGCACAUAUGUAUUUUUGCCAGUGACCAUACUUUGGGAGCCUCAGCUGAAAUGAUAUGGUCACUACCGAUGAAUGCAGUGACUUCUCAGUGAGCUGGCCUCUAGACCCAGUUACCAGAAAAAGGCAAUUCUCAGACUUCAUCUUCUCCAGAUCAUGUGAAAAAUCAUCAGAAGGUAUUGAAAACAAGACUGCCCAUACCCAUUGACUCCAAGGCCCUGCCAAGGCAUUUCUUUGGUGUUAUGUUUCAAAAUUCCCAUUUCUAGAGACAGAGAAACUGUCCUACUGGACCUCCCCAAGGAAUGGGCAUCUAGGGCUCCGUAGCCAUGUCUUUGUAUGUAAGCAGAGUAGGGUCACAUUGAUCAGACAGCACUCUUUCGUCCUGGACUGUGUGCAAUCUGGCCUAGGCAAAUCUCUUCUUUUUUGAAGGACAAGACCAUGUGUCCACGAUGAAGUUCAAAAUUCCUACACCUGAGUAUCCAGUUCUUGCUCAUAGCUAGAGGACCAAGCUGUGGCUCUCCCUCCUGGGUUCUUUGAUGAGGUCAUCGAUGGUUUCAACAUUGAGACAUUUGGCUGAGUAGAAAGCUUCAGGCUGGGCCAUACAAGCCCAGGUUCCUGGCAGUUUGAGAGAUCCUGGGAGUUUUCCUCUGGGGAAAUGGAUAGUAGGCUGGUUUUCCAGACCCGUGUGGGUUCUUUUUGGAAGGAGGGCGCCGAAUGUCCAUAUUUAAGCCAGAUCCCACUGCCUUUGUUUGGGCAUUGCCCACUGGACAUUCACGCCGGGCUGUUUGUAGGAUGGUAGUCCCUUGCGGAGUCAUCUGAUCAUUUUCAAACAAGCCUGGGUCUCCUUCCUGAGGGAGCCUUUGCUCAGACCCCAUGAGCUUGUCCUUGUGUUUUACUGGCAGAUUGGUUUCCUGGUGGAAGGUUUGGACGCAGCGGUACAUCUCCAGGUGCCUGUGCCAUGGAGACGCAGGGGCCUGGAGACAGUCUCUGUCAGCCUCCUCCAGCAUCCCCUCUGCCUCCGGCUCUGCCUCCUCCAGCAACAGCGAAUGCCUUCUGUCCUUGUUAAUCCAAACCGCACUGAGUAUGGGCUCAGCAGGAGCAGGCAUGUAGGCUCCUGACAAAGCAAGACACAAGCAGGGUCAGCACUGGAACGUACAGGAGCAGCUCUCAUUUUGGGGGUCUCAGUGCUUUCGAGCCGUAGGAAUGCCAUCCCCGAGUGUCAAGGCAACCAGAUAGUCAGUACACACUGCUUGUGUGUUUACACACAUGCACGGAUCCCACAUGAUCCCACUUUAUAUGCUCACACGUGUCCACUCCCUCCCGUGCCCACACAUCCACACCCACACAAACUCUAACACAUGCACACACACAUACACACUCAGACACAACUAUUCAUUCAUUCAGCAAGUAUUUACUGAGCACUUAUUAUGUGCUGGGCAUUACUUAUUCUAGGUUCCGGGAACACGGCAGUAAGCACUGAGACAAAACCCACAUCUUCACGGAUAUGUUCUAGCGGGGUAGAAACACAGUGAGCAAACGAACAUGUUGUAAUAAAAUUGCAGGUGGUAACCAAUGCUGUGAAGAAAAACUCAAGCAGAGCAGAGUUGAGUAACAGACUCCCGGUCUUAGCUGCAGGGAGGGAGUGACCCGAGGUAGAGCUAGGGAACCAACGUUCAGGCUGAAAGAGUGGGACAGAGUCACGUUCACUCACCGGUGGGAAAGAUUACUCUUAACUUACGGGGUUUGUGUUCUGGGGUUCCCGUAAUGCGUUUACCACCCAAGGUGGAGGAGGGGGAGCCAUAUUUCAAAGCAGCCCCUUUUGGAGGCCCGGCUGCUCUCCCUCUCCCAUCUCACAGACGUUGUUCUCGGAACACAUGUCCAGGCCGAUGUCCCUCUUCUUUCUCAGGGACCUAUUUUUACCACCUUGUGGCCCACAACAGCUUAUUGUCCGCCCUUGGGGGCCGAGAGGCUUGUGGGCAUGACUGAAAGGUGUUCCAAAGAGAGUAGGUCCGUGACCGGCCUGGAGUUGCGUCUGGACCCUCCCUGGAGCUCUCUUGAGCCUUCUGGCAUUUGUCACUGCGGGGUCCUGGACGGGUGAGUGCUGGCAGGCGGGGACAGACCGUGCUGAGCUAUGAAGACGGAGGGAAGCCCCUGAGAGAAACAGGACUGGGGCGGCCAUCUCUGCAAGCAGGGGAGGGACUGGAAAUGUGUUCCCGCUUCAGGACUACCAGAUUUUUCUCAGCCUGACAAACAUGGACGCCCUUACAAAAAGUCAAAGUGUCAUGUACUUAUUUGAGAACAGAGGAAGAGGGGACGCGAUGGAGAACGUAGGAACAAGGACCCUCUCCAGUGUGUCCAGGUGGACAGGCGGGUCUCGGUCGCAGUCAGAAGCCUCCUCAGCGGUCAGUCCCAGCCUGGGGUCCACAGAGGACAAGGGAAAGGACGAAGCAGGAGGGACCCCUGGACGCUGACCCUAGAAUGGAUCCGGCUGCGUGGCUGCCCUCCCCUGGGAGUCAAGUCUUCCCUGACAAAGGCAGUGUUCGACCAGCCCUCCUGGCAUCACCCCGCCCUAACUGGUUACCAGAUGCUGGCUAGGGGAGAAGGGCCCUGGGUCACAGAGUGUGGGAGAGAGAGCCAGAGGGGAGGGGUGGGGCAGGGGGUGGUGAGUUCUGUGGGGCAUGUCGAGCUGGACUGUCUUUGGGAUGUGCCCAUGACGUGGAUUUGUGGGUCUGAAUUGCGGGUCUGUUAAGCAUGGUACUUUCAUUUGAUAGUGGUUUAAUUUAAUAAAUGUUUGCUGAAUGACUGAAUGAAUAAAACGUUCGAGGA